GACGUAGGGGCGCGAGCGUUGUCCGGAUUUAUUGGGCGUAAAGAGCUCGUAGGCGGCUUGUCGCGUCGUCCGUGAAAACCCUGCAGCUCAACUGCAGGCUUGCGGGCGAUACGGGCAGGCUAGAGUUCGGUAGGGGAGACUGGAAUUCCUGGUGUAGCGGUGAAAUGCGCAGAUAUCAGGAGGAACACCGGUGGCGAAGGCGG
rnacentral:rRNA from 1 species